AUAGACUGAAGCAUGUAGACUGAUGUUUACGUUCUAUGUCCAGGGGAUGUUGAUCUAACUACUACAAUACAUUUUAGUGUUUGUCUGUCGUCUACGAUUUCUGUAUUAUAUGUAGAUUGUUUCCAGCAUGGGAAAGCCGAAAAAGAAGAGUGACCUGAGCGGUGCAGAGCUCGUGAUGAUGACAAUUGCUGAUGUCAUCAAGCAAUUGGUUGAGGCCCACGAGCAGGGAAAAGAUAUCAACCUUAACAAGGUCAAGACAAAGACAUCGGCCAAGUACGGCCUCUCUGCACAGCCACGGCUGGUGGACAUCAUUGCUGCAGUUCCACCUCACUAUCGAUGUGCCUUGGUGCCCAAAUUAAAAGCUAAACCCAUCCGCACUGCCAGUGGGAUUGCAGUUGUUGCUGUGAUGUGCAAGCCCCAUCGCUGUCCACACAUCAGUUUCACUGGUAACAUCUCUACUGCCCAGGGGGUCCGGACUCAGAUUUUGAAUAUUCCACACAGUCUUCCACGAUAUGAGCCCACAUCAAUGAGAGCCAUAUGUGCACGGUAUGAUCCGUACCUCCAGACUAGACACAGAGUAGAACAGCUCAAGCAGCUUGGUCAUAGUGUGGAUAAAGUGGAGUUCAUUGUGAUGGGAGGCACAUUCAUGGCUCUGCCGGAGGAGUACAGGGACUAUUUCAUCCGUAACCUCCACGACGCACUGUCAGGACACACAUCCAACAACGUCACUGAGGCUGUCAGUUAUUCUGAGCGCAGUAACACCAAAUGUGUUGGCAUCACUAUCAAGACGAGACCAGACUACUGUCUGAUGAGACACCUGAGUGACAUGCUGCCCUAUGGUUGCACCAGACUAGAGAUUGGUGUACAGAGUGUCUAUGAGGAUGUGGCUUGAGAUACCAACAGGGUUUUGGGAUGAUGUUGAUGGAAGAGGCUGAGAGGAUAGCCAGAGAUGAGCAUGGCUCAGGCAAACUGGCUGUUAACUCAGGUAUCACAAAUAUUCUCAACACUAAUGGAAAAAAACUCAUCCAUUUUGUUGAUUCUUCUCUCUCUCGCUCUCAAAGAAUGAAUAAAUAAUUUUGACGUGCGCCUCCCCAAAUCAGUGCAGGAUAGAGAUAACAGCAAUUGGAAAAUAAAUGAAAAUCUGCUUUCAUAUUAUUCUGGCUCUUACACACUAAUGCAAGUGUGUGAUAGUUUUUUACUUGGAACAACAGUAGCAACACAUACAUGAGUUUGCACGUUGAUCUUGUGUUUAUUUCAAGUGAAUAUGUACAAAUUAAUUAUAAAAUCAUACUGUGGCGAUAUCAUGGCAAAGUGAUGGUAUCAGAUUUUAAUACCUGGGCGAUAUAAUGUAUAUUUACUAAUUAUUCACCAUGAUUUUGCUGCCAUUGUAAAGUUAUGCAGCUUCAGAAUUAUCGUGAUGAUUUUAUUGCACUUUUUAUUUGGCCAUUAACAUUCUUGAACACAUUGACUAGUGUCAUAAGAUUAGUUUAGCUUUCCUUUCAUCUCUGACUUUUAGCUGAAGUGUGUAAUUUCUAGGCCACCCAAUGGAAUUACAGAAAUAAACAUUGUUUUUAAACAGCUUUUUGAAUAUGCCCCAUCUGCUGUUGAUUGAACAAACAGAUAGUUUCACCCCCUGCUCAUGCCAUCAGUUGAGGCAGUGUUGUUAUGUUGUGUUGGAGGGGCUGCUCAAAACAAAGGAAUUUAAAGUGCCACAGAGAGAGAAAAUUUACAGAUUUUGAGAAAAUUAACCUACGAAUGACUUACUUAUAGUUUUUUAUAUAUUAAAAUGCGUGUAUACUAUCUAUAUAUGAUAGAUAGAUGUGUGUAUAUAUAUAUAGAUAGAUGUGUGUGUAUAUAUAUAUAUAUAUAGAUAGAUUUUUUUAUUAUUUAUUUAUUUUUUUUAUUUAUUUAUCACACAUUAUACAUACUUGCUUUUGCACAUAUUCAGUGAAAUUCUUUUUUUUUCCACAUAUCCCAGCUAAGCUGGGGUCAGAGUGCAGGGUCAGCCAUGAUACGGCGCCCCUGGAGCAGAUUGGGUCAAGGGCCUUGCUCAAGGGCCCAACAGUGGCAUCUUGGCAGUACUGGGGCUUGAACCCCUGACCUUCUGAUCAGUAACACAGAGCCUUAACCGCUGAGCCACCACUGCCCCUUUUCGCAUAUCCCAGCCAAGCUGGGUGAAAAACAGUAUGGAAAACAUCCCAAGAUUCUUUAGAAAUAGAUUUUUACAGUUGUGAAGUUUCCGUAAACCGAGUCUCAGUGUCGGAACGAGGAAUUACUACAGAAAAAUGGGUUAUGAGCUGGAAGGUCCGUAUAUGGUGAAAAGCAUUUACUGAAGCGUAAACCUGCAUUUCAGCUGAUAAAAAGUGAACCCAAAUUAUCCGGAGAAUAUUGUCAGUCAUGCAGGAGUCUGCUAAUAAGGAGCGACACUGACUUUAAGAAGAAAUUUACACCCCACCUAUAAUCAGAUUGGUGAUGAGGACUGUAUUUUGUGUGGUCAGCACAAGUACUUUUACAUGCCAGCCAAAGAAUGUAUUCUGUUCUGUUUUGAUAUGAAGACCAUAAUGCAAGUAUCAGUGCUUGUUAGAAAGGUACAUCAUUCUCCUUUGGCCUUAGCUCUCAGUUUACAGAGUUCCCUCUCCAGUAUACUUGCUUGUACAUUUGAAUUUUUUGGGAUUAGACUCAAUAUUAUUGUCACAUUUUUUGUUUCUACUGACAAAAUUGGGCAUACUGGGAAAAAAUGCAGAGGCUCUGUUAUCAGCUGUUAUGGAAGCACACAUUUCUUCAUGUGGAUUUAGGGGAGAGAAAUUAUUUAAUAUGCCAGUUGCUUGGCACAUUUUGAUUAAUCCAUAUUUUUCCUAUUCAAUUCAACUCAUUUUAAAGAUGGAUUAAUUGCAGUUUUAUGUUUUUCUGAUUUUGCAUGAAAUGUAUUCAUCUGGUCAAUUUUGUAUUGUUAAUAAAAUAUAUUUAUCUGGGAUUUCAGUUGUUCUCAAAUGAUUGUACAUUGAUAUAAAUCAGAUUUUGGCAUACAGGCAGUAGAUUUGGAUGGAGUUGAAUAGACAUAAUACAGUCAUCACAGAACAUUCAAAGGCAUUAAUGGGUAAGAAAUAAUUCGCAAUGGUCUCCUGUCUUGCUUGGGUAUGAAAAACGGUCGCCAAAAUGAUCGAAAUUCAACUGCUGCUAUUUUUGACAGAAUGAAAAGUUGCUCCUCACUUCAUUUUUCACUAUAACUUCUCUCUUGCAUUUUAGUGUCUGUCACCACACCACCAAUUUCUGAGAAACGUCGUCCAGCGUGGCGAGAGCUCUCCUCUGCGGGAGACCUCAUGAUAUCUCUGCUGAUGGGUUUUUACUGCUUCAUUUGACAUCGCAAUACCCGAUUAUAUCACUAUCUCUGCCUGUGGGUCAAGGUGUCAGUCGAAUGAUGACCGACCAUCCUUUAAAGCUAAGCUCAGAUGAGCUCAGUCAGAUCACUGCCGUAAGAGGUUUAUCGUCAGAGAAAUGGCUUUCAAUAAAUGGCACAAUGUUCCACUACAUCAGGUAGAUGUUGUUUUGCCCCCUGCCCCACAAUAAAAUGAUGAUUUAACAAUAGUUGCUCUCGUAAUUUCCAGGCACAGACCCUUUGUUGUGACUUUAAUGUUAUGCUAAUCUCAAGGAUAGAGCAAUAAACAGCAGCACUGUGUCAAUAGGGUCAUUCUACACAUCAAUUGUCUCAAUGGAAGAGGUAAGACAGAAUGAUAUCUUCAGUCACCAUUCGCUUUCAUUAUAUGGAUAAAAGAUGAAAAGUGAAAGUGUAACAGUGUCUUUAGGCUAACAACUCCUUUUGUAUUCCAUGUAAGAAAGAAAGUCAUAAGGGUUAUGAGAAUUUUCCAUUUUGUGUGAACUGUCAUUUUUAAGUCAAUCCCAUACUGGAUUGGGUCAUUAUGAAGUAGUUUAAUCAUUAUUCCUCAUGUGUGAUGUCUUUCCAAUGCAGAAUGAAUAUGGAGGUACCUGAGAUGAUGACCUCAGAGAAAGACUGAGUGCGGUGUUUAGAUAAUGUGCAUAUUUCUCUCAGAGGUCGAGGUGAGCCAUUGCAAUGUUUCAUUUGCAAACCAGUGAAGCGUGUGGAAAAGGGCAAAGUGGCUCUAGAGAAGGAAAUGUCACAGAUGAGAUACACUUAGGAGGUGCUCAGAUGCUUUAAAUUAUUGCCAAUGGAGGCUGUAAGGUUUCAAAACCCUCACUUGACCCUUUUGCACACUUGGAAGUCAUUAUUGUUUAUCUUUGGCAUUAUUCUUGGUCUUCAACUGAACACUGCAGAUAACUACUAUUUGGAUUGAUCACAGUUCUUGACAGAAAAUCAGAAAAAAUUUGUUUUGCUCAAGCCUUGUGGUCUGAAGUUAGUGGAUGAUUUACCAGGGUUAUUAUACUUUUGAAUUUUUCUUAGUAUAUUAUUUUCCAUUUGCUCUUUCAAUUUGAGUUUUAGUUGAGUUUCUGUUAGUUUUCACUGUUCUGAGUGUUUUUGUUUUAUUCAUUUUAGUUUAGAACAAGUUCAUAUUAUGCCUAUUUUAACAUGCUACUUUUUUGGAUUUAAUUUAUUUUGGUAGGUAUUUCUGGUAACAUUUUACAAUAAUUUUCUAUUUAUUAACAUUAGUUAACAUGGGGGCCUGGGUAGCUCAGCGAGUAUUGAUGCUGACUACCACCCCUGGAGUCAUGAGUUCGAAUCCAGGGUGUGCUGAGUGACUCCAGCCAGGUCUCCUAAGCAAACAAAUUGGCCCGGUUGCUAGGGAAGGUAGAGUCACAUGGUGUAAUCUCCUCGUGGUCGCGAUUAGUGGUUCUCGCUCUCAAUGGGGCACAUGGUAAAUUGUGCAUGGAUGGCAGAGGGUAGCUUGAGCCUCCACAUGCUGGGAGUAUCCGCAGUGUCAUGCACAACGAGCCACGUGAUAAGUUGCGCGGAUUGACUGUCUCAGAAGCAGAUGCAACUGAGACUUGUCCUCCGCCUCCCGGAUUGAGGUGAGUAACAGCGCCACCACGAGGACCUACUAAGAAGUGGGAAUUGGGCAUUCCAUAUUGGGAGAAUAGGGGAUAAAAUAAAAAAAUAAAAUAAAAAACAUUAGUUAACCUGAACUAACAAUAAACAAUACUUUUACAGCAUUUAUUAAUCUCGGGUAAUGUUAAAUUCAACAUAUAUUAAUUCGUUUUAAAAUCAAAAGCUGAAUGUUAACAUUAAUGCACUAUGAACUAACAAUGAACAAUUGUAUUUUUAUAACUAACAUUUUUUGAUGAAUAAAUUCUGUAAAAUUAUAUAUUGUUCAUGAUACCUAAUGCAUUAACUAAUGUUAACGAAUGGAAACUUACUGUAAAGUGUUACCAUGUUUCUUUGUAUUACACCCAGAAAAAAGUUAUACAAAGCAAUACAUUUACGUAAUUAUAAAUAAAACAUUGUUUUUUCACAUCAGCGUUUUCAUGCUUAUAACUGAUAUGCCGAUGGUUUUAUUUGGUCAAUGUGUAAUUAUCCCAUAGUGCAAUAAUGUAUAAAUAUGCCAUGUACAUAUGUCAAUUCACUCAUAUUUAAUUCAUAUUUAACCACUUGCACAUACGCCAUUCUAUGUUAUAUGUCCUAUUAUAUAUUCUGUCUCACUGUAAUGUUCUGUGUGCACUUGCUUUCCUCUAUCACCAAAAAAAAAAAAAAAAAAACUUGUGUACGUGAGCACACUUGGCAAUAAAGCUCAUUCUGAUUCUGAAAAUGGCGUAAAAAUAUCGGUGGCCAGUACGUUGGUGUGUCCCUAUUUUUGUCGUUUAGUAUUUUAGGGUUGCCAAAGUUCAUGUUAAAUUAUCAUAUAUAUUCUC